UACGCUGUAAACGAUGGAUACUAGCAUUCGGAGGUGUCGACCCCUUCGGUAGCGAAGCUAACGCGUUAAGUAUCCCGCCUGUGUAGUACGAGCGCAAGCUUAAAACAUAAAGGAAUUGACGGGGACCCGCACAAGCGGUGGAGCGUGUUCUUUAAUUCGAGGCUAAGCGAAGAACCUUACCAGGGCUUGAAAUCCUGCGAAAGUUUGCGAAAGCAGACCGUGCCUUCGGGAACGCAGUGACAGGUGC
rnacentral:rRNA from 1 species